rnacentral:misc_RNA from 1 species
UACAAAGUCACUUAAAUAGGAACUUCUCAAUCUGAAUUAGCUAUUCAUUAAUGCUGUGUUUGAAAUAAUGCAAAAAACUCAAAAAGAAAAUAAAAAAAAUCCCAGGUCAUACAGCUAUUCACAUGAUAUUUAUAUCAGAAUCAAUGUAGUCCCCACUUUCUUUACUGCAUUUUGCCCGCGAACCCAAUAGGGUCUGAUGAGGGUAGGAUGUACGGUAAAAAUCUUUACUAACAAAAUGAAUUAUAAGACCUCUUUUUCAAGUUUUAAUACAGCCAUGAAUGCUUCCUGUGGUACAUCAACUUUACCAAUGGCUUUCAUCCUUUUCUUUCCUUCAGCCUGUUUCUUGAGCAGUUUCUUUUUUCUCGAGAUGUCACCACCAUAGCACUUGGCGAGAACAUCCUUCCUGAUAGCAGAUAUUGCCUCGCUGGCAAUCACUUUUGAGCCAAUGGUUGCCUGAAUUGGUACUUUAAACAUUUGUCUGGGUAUAAGUUCUUUCAGCUUUUGGGUUAAAGCCCUUCCCACAGAAUAUGCCUUAUCUUUAUGUACGAUUGUUGCCAAGGGUUCGACACGAUCACCAUUUAUGAGAAUAUCAAGCUUUAUCAAAUCACUUUCUGUAUACCCAAUGAAGUUGUAUUCCAUGCUUGCAUAACCUUUGCUUCUUGACUUUAGCUGAUCAAAGAAAUCUCCAACCAUCUCAGCAAGUGGCAAUUCAUAUAUG